GGCUGUGGAGGUGGCUGUGAGACUGAUUAACCUGGGGACACCUGAAGGACAGUUAUUUGAGUGUCUGUAGAAAUUAGUAAUUUGGGGCUUGGCAGGGCCUGAGUGGUUGUGGGGCCAGUGUGGGGAAUUGGUUGAUUGGGGACUUCUAGGGUGGAUCAUUGGAAGGGGCCUUUGGGGGUCAGUUUUGAAGCCUUGUGGAGUUUAGCAAUCGAGUGUUGGAGGUGGGGCGGGCAGAGAUUGGGAGUGAGGGAGUCACUGCAUGCAGGCUGCCCUUGGUGAGUGAGGUGCGUGGAUCAGGAGCCUUGGAGGUGAGUGUAGCUCAUGGUGAGGGUUUGUAUGAGUAACUAGGAUUCUGGUGACCAACGAAUUGGAUAUCUUUGCGUUAAUAACUGGAGGCCAGUGUGUAUGAGUGACUGAGAUGGCCAGAAAUGAGUGGUCAAGGAUCCUUUCUAGGCCACGUUUGGGGGCUUGAAAUUGAGGCAUCAGAGUUUGGGGAACUGUGGGUCAGGGCAAGGGGGUCUCUAUAUAAACGGCAGGUCUGUUGGCGGUGGUGAUUGCGAGGAUGUGGAAUAGUAAUUGCAGGCCUUUUGUUGGGAGUCAUUGCAGGGGGUGCCUGAGAUGUCAGUAUUUGUGGACAGUGGGAAGCCCUUUCAGAAUGACAAUUAGAAAGCCAUAUGGGAGUGUCAGUGGAUGAUGAGUGAGCAUGGGGUGCAUCAGAGAAUGGGGUGUCACGUGGGGUGAAUGCUUGGAGGCCCUGUGGGAUAAGGGAUUGUUUGGGGUUUAGUGAUGGGGCUACUUUACGCAGCUUGUGGUGAUAAGAAACAGUGAAAUGUCAAUAAUGGGGGUUUUGCGAGAGCAGCGACUGGGUACCUGUUAAGGUGAGCGAGUGGAUGUCUGUAGGAGAGAGUGACUGGAGUUCUGGGGGUGGGGUCCUUUGGUAUGCAGCGUUUGGGGCACAUUUGCGGUCAAUGAAUAGACAAUCUGUGGAGAUUAUUAAAUGGGGGCAUUAGGGGGAGUCAGUGGGGUGUCUUAGGAUCAGAGUUUAGAAGGUAGGCUCUUCAUCUUUCUGAGCUCAGCUGAACAUUACCUCCUCUGAGAGGCCUUCUGUGCCUGUACUGAAGGAAUACUUUUCCUCCAGAGGCGGCGGUGGUUGUUAGUUGCGUGGAGUCAACUCUGACUCGUGGUGCCCCCACAUGUGCACAGUAGAACCGCCCCACAGGGUUUUCAAGACUGAUCUUUGAGAAGUAGAUCUCCAGGCCUCUAAAGGUGCCUCUAAACCCACUGCCAUCAAGUCGAUUCCGGCUCAUAGCGAUCCUGUAAGACAGAGUAGGACUGCCCCACAGGGUUUCCAAAGAAUGCCUGGUGGAUUUGAAUUGCCAACCCUUUGGUUGGCAGCCGAACUCUUAACCGCUGUGCCACCAGGGCUGGGUGGUUCAAACUGCCAACCUUUUGGCCAGUAGUUGAGCACUUAGCUGUUUGUGCCACCCAGGGACUCCAUCCACACAUUACUCUGUCACGUUAUUCUUCUGAGCACUCUCACAGUUUGAAAUUAUUUUAUUUACUUUGUUUCCCACUCUUGAAUGUAUUUCCUAGAGGACAGGGAAGUCCCACCCCUGUGCCCAGAACAGUGCCUAGUGCAUAACAGGCACUCAGCAGCAGCUGCUUCCUUGACCAAUAAAUGAGUCUUUGGGAAUGUGUGUAUGUUUGUGUGAGUGUGUGCAUGUGUGUGAGUGUAUGUGAAACUUGGUGUGAUUGAGAGUUAGGUGUAUGUCGGGAUACUGAAAGAGGAAGCCUUGGUGACUGCUUUUGGAUGUUAGUAGAAAUAGGCACUCACUCCCUUUCCCAGGAGAAGUAGCAGAUUUCUGAGGGGAAGGGCAGGCAGUAUUUGUCCCAAGGUGGGGUGAGGAAGAAGCAACAGAAAAGCUUUCCUUAGACUUCUCGGUGCCUCUCUGGUUGCAAGUGUUCUAGGCUGCAGCCAAACCCUGCUUAGCCCCAAACCCACGCUUAGGCAGUUAGCUUCACCACAGCUGCAGUCUCACCUGGGGUCUCUGUUUCCUCUUAUUACUGUUACUUCCUCCAUCUAUGCUUUCCUUUUGCCCCAGGGCUGAUUUGGGGGAAGGAAACCAGCACCCCAGGCUAAUCCACCACUUUCAUUUUGAUCUUUACCCCUUUUUUGUUUACCAUCUUGUCUAGAAGUGAGUUGAACUUUACUCCAUAGCAUCCUUGAAAAUAAUGUAUUUCAUUUAAGUGUCCCUAGGAAAUAUUGCUGGAGAAUGAGUGAGCCAUCAUUGUAUUUCCAGAAUUUCUUGAUGUCCUUGCAGAGCGGUUUGGUGUGGUGGUGCUGCCCAGUGCGGGUGUUUGCUGGAACCAGUGAGGUGGGUGGUUUCAUUCUCGUGUGUAUGGGUGAGACCCACUGUUGCUAAGUGAGAUGCAUAGGGUAGACCUGGCCCAGAUGCCGGUCACACUCCAUUGAGAUCCACCAGUUGCUCACAUUCCAUCCUAUUUCCUUCCCCACCACCGCUUAUUUCAGUCUACAGACAUUUGAUCUGAGGCUUUAGAUAUGAGUUACCAACAAGACGAAGACAAGAUGUAGGACCCCAAAUUAGUUACAUCAUCCAAAAUAAAUUUCCACUGAGUCCACAGGCCAUGGCACUCAGGAACAAGACAGUUUGCAUGAGCUAAGAGAGAAGAGGCCUCAGGACCAGGAAUGCAUUCUCAGCGUACAGACCUUUGAACAGAGGCUCUCCACGGAACGACAGGACGGAGAAGUCACAGCACACAGCAAGGACCCCAGGAGCAGCAGAAAAUGAUCAAGUCACAGGUGGGUUGAGACCAAUUGAUGCAUCUUAGAUGGCCGCUUGCUGCCAUUUAAGACCCCAGAUGCCACUCUCCAAAUGUGGGGUAUAUCUUGAGUCAUUGACUUUUGAGAUACGAAAGAGAUUGAACUAGCAAGUGAGAGAAGCAGACAUAGAAAAAGAUUGAUGCCAAGCCACGUGGAGAUCUCCAAGGAACCAGGAAAUAGAAGCUGAAGAGACAAGGAACUUCCCCCAGAGCUGACAGAGAGAGAAAGCCUUCCCCUAGAGCUGGUGCCCUGAAUUUGGACAUCUAGCCUCCUAAACUUUGAGAAAAUAAAUUUUUGUUCGUUAAAGCCACCACUUGUGGUAUUUCUGUUACAGCAGCACAAGAUAACUAAGACACCGUGUAACAAAUUAUCACAGACCUGAGAAGCUGAAAACAACAAACAUCUCAUCAUUUCUGUGUGUUAGGACUCCGGCAGCAGAUUACCCAGGUAUCAUUUGAGGAUGUGGCUGUGGAUUUCACAUUGGAGGAAUGGCAGCUGCUUAAUCCUUCUCAAAAGAACUUAUACAGAGAUGUGAUGCUGGAGAACUACAGCAAUAUAGUUUUCUUGGACAAACAACAACCAACGUAAUUCAUCACCUGCAGACCUGCCUGCAGGAAAUAUUAAAGGAAGUUCUUUGGGCAGCAGGAAGGUAAUACCACAUGGAAAUCUGGAUUCUACACAAAACGGUGACUAUAUAGGUAAAUAUAAAAAAGUUCUUUUUCUCAUUUCAAAAUCUUUUAGGAAGGUAGCUGACUGCUUGAAGCAAAAGUAAUAAAAAUAUAUUUGGGGUUUAUGAUCUAUUUAGAAGUAAAAUGUAUGACAAUAGCACCUAAGUAUGACGCUUUCAAAAUACUUUGAAUAGACUGCCUCCUCUGAAUCAGAAACCUGUUUCCUCACAGCUCAGGUUGACUUGUGUUUGUAGCAACUACACAAGAGAAUUUAAUGUAUUAUGGGUCUUUGUAUGUGCUGACUAUGCUUUCCUUCCCCAGACCUGUUCCCCUCUUCUCUGCUGUGCCCCCUCAAAGGCUGUCCUCUAGAGGCUGCUUCACCGGGUUUCUGCUUAGGUUUGAACAAUGGGAGGUAGCAGUAAAAGAUCAGAGGGUGAGAGAGAGAGAGGCUGGGGUAUUUAUGACCCUUCCCUCGCAGACAGUGGUUUAGGCAGUGUCUGUGUUCCUCUGUGGCUACAGCUCCCCUUGGACAGCCCCUCUCAUAUGGUUCUAGAUCUCACCAUCUUUCAGUCAACAGCAUUCCCUUUCCUUGCUCUCUAUACUUAAGGGUGAUAAUUGCUUCUGGUUGUUUGACCAUCCCUUGUUGGUUUCCUUAAUUCUGAACACAUUUCUUGAAAUAGUCCCUUCAUUAAAUUUUCUUGAGUUAACUCUUUGUGCCAUUUAUUUCCUGUGCCAUGUUUUAAACGAUGAACAUUUAAGACAAUUGUGAGCAUGGUACUGUUAACGGGUACCUCACAGAGCCUAGACUGACAUCUACCAAGACUUCCCACACUGAACAUUAGUGUUUUCUCUUUGUAUUUUAACAGUGCAGGUAAAGUUACAACUGAUUACAUAGUUCUCUGUGCCCUUUUUUGCUGUAUAUGUAAAUGGUCUGGAAAUUAUUACCAUCUGCUACAUAUGUAAAUAGGCUUGCCAUUAUUACUCAACUCCUUGUCAAUAAUAGGAACCAGAAGGUUUUUGAAGGCUUAUAUGCUACCUCUGAGUUGGCCAAACAACUUAUAAAAGCACGGUUAUUUCUGUUAAAUAUCUACCGACAAGAAACAACAGGUACUAAGUGAAGAAAGACAUGAUGUACCAUAUUUCUCAGUACUCUAAUUUUAAAAAGCUGUGCUAUACAAUGAAAAUAUCCUCAGCGCAUAUCCUGCUGUUUUUUGUUACGUAUAAUCCAUGUAAUCUGUAACCCAUGAACAAGAUUUUCCAAUAUGGUAACAUUUCCAUUUUGGUCGGAAUUACUGUAGAGAGCCUCUUCAGAUCCUCCACACGGUCUUUCCCAGCAGGUCCCUCACAAAGACUGUACAAAAAGAAAGUCAGCUCUUCAAGGAUACACCAUAGUCCCCUCACUUUUAAUCUCAUAAAGCAUACCAAAGAGGCCCAUCAUUUACCAAAUAUCACCCUAAGAACUUCACUCCUGCAUAUCCUUUCUUGACUACUCACUCUCUCCUAUUGGCAUACAAACCUCAUCUGAAAGGAAAUAAUUACCAUGUAGCUACCCGGCAGUUUUCCUCUCCUGGUUGAGUUUGCAUUUCAACUUUCAUUUUGAAAUAGGCUCUUUAUACAGGUUUUCCUCAUUGUACAGCUCCGAGAGGCACCAUUUACAUUGUACUCUGUGUUAACAAAGUUGUGGAACUCUCUGGCCUGCCUUUAAGGCAUUAGCUAACUAAUAAAUCUUUGGAGACUUGGGCAUAAUUGGAAUACAACACUGUGACCAUCACCUGUAAUCAUUUCUUUGUAAUAGUGCUAUAUGAUGUAUAUAUGACAGCGAAAUGGUUUCCACCAUCAGGACUCCCCCCGGCUCCUUUUAUUUGCCACACAGUGAAGACACGAUGAGGCACUCACUCACUCUCAUUAUUGUAGAAAAACUUAUUUACCUCAUGAUGCCUGUCUGCAACUUGGGAACAGCCAAUGUAACGUCUCACGGCCAGCUCAAAAGAACGAAAUUCAACUAAGCUAUUGUCUGAAGUGGAGGAGUCCUGAUGGCACAGUGAUUAAGCCAUAAGCUACUAAACAAAAGGUCAGUGGUUCAAACCCACUAGCUGCUCUGAAGAAGAAAGAUGUGGCAAUCUGCUUUCAUAAAGAUUACAGCCUUGGAAACCCUACGGGGCAGUUCUACUCUGUCCUAUAGGAUCACUAUGACUCAGAAUCAACUUGGCAGCAACAGGUUUGGUUUUGGGCUUUGUUUUAUCUAACAUACAUUCUCCACCUUACAGUUUCCCUCUGAGUCAUCUUUCUCACACACCCCAGUACCACAACAAUGCACGUACCUUAAUAAGCAGUGGAUUUGUUUUGAGGCCAAACCUAUGAAUUUGGUGAUACUAUCUAAUAGUUUUUCAUUUUCUCUUGGGAUCUUUGCAACUUAGAACACAAUUAUUACUCAUCGUAUCCAGGUAGAUUUGACAUCUUGCCAUGGAGACUGUUACUUUCAGAAAGCUACGAUUAAAUAAACCAGAGAACACGAAAUUUAUGUAAUAAUCCCUAAGUCAUUAAAGGUGCCCAACAAAGAGAGUGUUGCCAUAGAAGCCUUUACCGUGAAGAUGAAAGGAAGAGAAAUACAAGUGAAGGGACGUUUAUAAUUUGAGGUUCUCAUUGAAAGCAUUUCUGUCAUUAAAAAUACUUGUGAAAAACAAAUCAAGCUCAGAUUUAUAAAAAAUGGUGGGGAGCUGAUGAACUUUUAAGUGCUUCUCAGAGAAUAACCAUGUGAGGAGAUCAUUCAAGCCAGGGACGACUUCCACUACAGCCACCCAAAUGCAGCACAGCUUUAUCCCCAAACCAUGAAGCUUUCACGGCAGCUCCCUGGGGACAUAAACAAGCUACCUAGGAUGUAUUCUCCUGUGUAUGCUGUGAGUGUAAAACGCUGUCAGAUCGUAAUGAUGCUGUGUUUCACAUCCGAGGAGAAGGUAACUAGCUGCCUGAAGAAGACUGGAAUGCUGUCCAUUCUAGGGGAGGAGCACCUGUGUGUGGCUGCCAUUGUCCUCACUGACCACUGCAUCUUCCUGAGAUCAGGGCAGGCAGGGAGAGCUGUGCUAGCUCAGACCUGCUGAUGCUUCCUUCUGUGCUGUUUAAAAAAAAACUCUGUACCUAUAUGUUUACUGAGUAAACUAUUGAAUGAAUUAAUAUGUGUGAGUGUAGUCAUUGCAAACAAUUUACAAAUAAAUGCUGGCUUGCAUUCUAACUAGGCAUCCCGAUCUAAAUAUGAAUUUUCGUCAGUUCCCAACAUUUUAUAACCCAGAUACCCCUAAAACACCAAGAGAAAAGCACCUCAUGUUUCGGCAGGAGUUACUGGUGGUGUUGGUGGUCUUUGGUACUCCUCCCACACGAUAAUGGUGAGACCUAAUCCUUUUUAAAUUGAGAACAAGAGAAGAAUUGUCACUUGUUUUUAUCAAAUAUAUACAUGCAUAUAGUUUAAGAAAGAACUUACUUUACGAAGUUUGUUCUGAGAAAACUGCCCUUUCCCCCUUCUCUCGCCCAUGUAUCUGGAGCGUGUCAUUGGAGGAUCUGUCUCGUGGGAGUUGAGGAUUUGGCUCUUUUACUUCUUCCACACAUGCACACUCUGCCCAUCCCCUCCUGCUCCCAAAAACAGUCUACGGUUAGAGCAGUAUUCAGUACUGACACAAUAUAAUUAUGUAGACAAUUUCUCUUAGAAUUUUGAAUUUGAUGUUAUAUUGUCUUCUAGCUUCCGGCAUGAAGCAUUUCUGGUCCUUUGAUGUGACCUGAUUUUCUCCCUGGGAACUUAGUUGAUAAUU